AUGGGGGGCCCAUCCUCCAAGGCUAAAUACUCCUGACUGACCGAUAGUGAACCAGUACCGUGAGGGAAAGGCGAAAAGAACCCCGGCGAGGGGAGUGAAAAAGAACCUGAAACCGUGUACGUACAAGCAGUGGGAGCACGCUUAGGCGUGUGACUGCGUACCUUUUGUAUAAUGGGUCAGCGACUUAUAUUCUGUAGCAAGGUUAACCGAAUAGGGGAGCCGAAGGGAAACCGAGUCUUAACUGGGCGUUAAGUUGCAGGGUAUAGACCCGAAACCCGGUGAUCUAGCCAUGGGCAGGUUGAAGGUUGGGUAACACUAACUGGAGGACCGAACCGACUAAUGUUGAAAAAUUAGCGGAUGACUUGUGGCUGGGGGUGAAAGGCCAAUCAAACCGGGAGAUAGCUGGUUCUCCCCGAAAGCUAUUUAGGUAGCGCCUCGUGAAUUCAUCUCCGGGGGUAGAGCACUGUUUCGGCAAGGGGGUCAUCCCGACUUACCAACCCGAUGCAAAC
rnacentral:rRNA from 1 species